GAUGAACGCUGGCGGCGUGCCUAAUACAUGCAAGUCGAGCGAACAGACGAGGAGCUUGCUCCUCUGACGUUAGCGGCGGACGGGUGAGUAACACGUGGAUAACCUACCUAUAAGACUGGGAUAACUUCGGGAAACCGGAUCUAAUACCGGAUAAUAUAUUGAACCGCAUGGUUCAAUAGUGAAAGACGGUUUUGCUGUCACUUAUAGAUGGAUCCGCGCCGCAUUAGCUAGUUGGUAAGGUAACGGCUUACCAAGGCAACGAUGCGUAGCCGACCUGAGAGGGUGGUCGGCCAGCCUGGAACGGGGACACGGGCCAGACUCCGACGGGAGGCAGAAGUAGGGAAUCUUCCGCAAUGGGCGAAAGCCUGAAGGAGCAACGCCGCGUGAGUGAUGAAGGGCUUCGGAUCGUAAAACUCUGUUAUUAGGGAAGAACAAAUGUGUAAGUAACUAUGCACGUCUUGACGGUACCUAAUCAGAAAGCCACGGCUAACUACGUGC
rnacentral:rRNA from 1 species